rnacentral:lncRNA from 1 species
UUUUUUUUUCCAUCUGGUUUCAUUAAAAACUUUGAAAGAUACAAAGGUGAAUUACCGAGCCGGCGGAAUAAUAGGAACAUCCCCGGAAGCUAAGCCCAUACAGGGAAACAAGAACCCAAACAACGGGCAACAGAGACUUAAAUUAAAAAACCUAGAUUCCUUUUGAGAAACCCAUAAGCAAACUACCAUAGAUAAAGAACAGAGACUUAAUAGUCUAUGAUUAGCCGGAAUUCUUGCAACGCAACACAUAUGACAACUUCAAUCAGAGCAGAAACCUCAUCUGAACCACCUGUUCACGAUGACAACAACGAACCUCUUCGACAAACUCAAGACAACAACCAGGAUGAAACAACACCCACCGAGCACUUACUCAACCGCACCAUAAGCUGGAAGCCUCCAUGCCUCAACCUCUUUAUAUUGCUUCAACCAAACAAAGCCACGAGGAAGACAAAGACCAAAGGAAGACCCAGAAAAAACACUAUUGCAAAGGGCGGGAGACAGUCUCCUUCAAACCACAGAGACUAAUAGAUGUUCAGAAACAACCUAUUUCUCAAGAACCACAACCAACAACUGCUCACGACGCAUCACCACGUUACUGCAACACCGUUGCCGAAUCAAAGACCAACUAAGACAAGCUCAAAAACCAUGAGAUAUUAACAGGAUCUCAAUCCCUUGGCCAGAGGUACACACAGCAGAUGGAGGGACAAAGGAACGGAACUGAAGAGAGCAGAUGGAGGGACAACAGAACGGAACUGAAGAGCUCUCACAACCACUGUGGACAACACACGGGCGGAUCUGGAACCCUAAAAAAACAAAUUUGAAAACUAGAACAAAUCUGCAAAAUCAAGAAACCCAGAUCUACAAAGGAAUUAAUAACAAAUCUGCAUACAGACCACAGAUCUGUCAUCAAAGAGCCUUAAUCGAGGUUAACAAUAGCAUAUACAUGCCAUCAUGAACCAACGAGAGAACACACAAAAGGAGAUGCAAGGUUGAGUAGAAAGGAACGACAACAACUAACGACUAGAAAGAUACAGACUGCUCCGACGGCGACGCUGAGGGCGCGCCACCGCCGGAACCACCACGAUUCAACCGGAGGAGAAAAUGAACUUAAGAGAGAAGGGAGGGAACUCUCUGUUACUAGAGGUAGGUUUU